rnacentral:rRNA from 1 species
UACGUAGGGUGCGAGCGUUAAUCGGACUUACUGGGCGUAAAGCGUGCGCAGGCGGUUUUGUAAGCCAGAUGUGAAAGCCCCGGGCUUAACCUGGGAAUGGCAUUUGGGACUGCAAGGCUGGAGUGUGGCAGAGGAGACUGGAAUUCCUGGUGUAGCAGUGAAAUGCGUAGAUAUCAGGAGGAAUACCGAUGGCGAAGGCAGGUCUCUGGGCUGACACUGACGCUCAUGCACGAAAGCGUGGGGAGCAAACAGG